AGGAACCUGGUUUCCCAGGGGGGCCUGUGAUGCCCGUGGGUCCACUGAGUCCUGGAAACCCUGGAUUACCUGAAUGUACCUGGUCAAUCCCGGAGGUCCUGGUUUCCCUCUUCUACCUGCAGGGACACAUAACAGACUUUUGGCCUCAUUCAGACCUGGCCCUUCACAUCCUGGAGCUCCAUCUCGUCCAUUAAACCCUCUCUCUCCUGUCUUCCCUGGAGUUCCAGGGAACCCAGUCUGUCCUAGGGGCCCUGGCCCGCCAUACUUGCCUUGGGGCCCCAACAGACCUGAAACAGACAGAGAAUAAUCCAAUGAAUUUAGGUCAUGCAAAAACA